CGCCUACACGCCCCUAUCAAACUCCGAAUACUCAUGAAUGUAUCCCGGGAGUGAGUCCGCGAGGGAUAAUCUUCGCGGUCGAAACGGAAACAACCGAGACCACCUGCUAAGGUCCCCAAAUUCAGCUCAGUUCGGUAGGAAGUCAUUCUGCUGAGACAGCCAGGAUGUUGGCUUAGAAGCAGCCACCAUUUAAAAAGUGCGUAAUAGCUUACUGGUCGAGCAGAGUGGCGCCGUAAAUGAUCGGGAAUAAGCUGAAUACCGAAGCAGUGGAUGAAUGGCUUUGCGGCCAUUCGUGGUAGGAGAGCGCCGCAUGCCGCGUCGAAGCCAUACCGUGAGGAGUGGUGGAGCGCAUGCGGGUGAGAAUGCCGGCAUAAGUAACGAUAACGCAGGUGAAAAUCCUGCGCGCCGAAAGCCUAAGGUUUCCUGGGGAAGGUAAAUCCGCCCAGGGUUAGCCGGUGCCUUAGUCGAGGCCGAAAGGCGUAGACGAUGGGAAUCACGUUAAUAUUCGUGAGCCUGGAGGUAGUGACGGAUCGCACAAGUUGUUCGACCUUAUUGGAUUGGUCGGGCCUCGAAGGGGUUCCAGGAAAUAGCCCCCACAUUAGACCGUACCCGAAACCGACACAGGUGGACUGGUA
rnacentral:rRNA from 1 species